rnacentral:hammerhead_ribozyme from 1 species
AUCUAAUUGACGAGCCCGAAAUAGGACGAAACAUAUGUUCUGGAU